rnacentral:rRNA from 1 species
UACGAAGGGGGGCUAGCGUUGUUCGGAAUCACUGGGCGUAAAGGGCGCGUAGGCGGCUGUUCAAGUCGGGGGGUGAAAGCCUGUGGCUCAACCACAGAAUGGCCUCGAUACUGGACGGCUCGAGACCGGAAGAGGUCAGUGGAACUGCGAGUGUAGAGGUGAAAUUCGUAGAUAUUCGCAAGAACACCAGUGGCGAAGGCGGCUGACUGGUCCGGUUCUGGACGCUGAGGCGCGAAAGCGGUGGGGAGCAAACAGG